rnacentral:rRNA from 1 species
AUUGAACGCUGGCGGCAGGCCUAACACAUGCAAGUCGAGCGGAUGACGGGAGCUUGCUCCUUGAUUCAGCGGCGGACGGGUGAGUAAUGCCUAGGAAUCUGCCUGGUAGUGGGGGACAACGUUUCGAAAGGAACGCUAAUACCGCAUACGUCCUACGGGAGAAAGCAGGGGACCUUCGGGCCUUGCGCUAUCAGAUGAGCCUAGGUCGGAUUAGCUAGUAGGUGAGGUAAUGGCUCACCUAGGCGACGAUCCGUAACUGGUCUGAGAGGAUGAUCAGGCACACAGGAACGAGGACACGGUGCAGACUCCUACGGGAGGCAGCAGUGGGGAAUAUUGGACAAUGGGCGGAAGCCUGAUCCAGCCAUGCCGCGUGUGUGAAGAAGGUCUUCGGAUUGUAAAGCACUUUAAGUUGGGAGGAAGGGCAGUAAGUUAAUACCUUGCUGUUUUGACGUUACCGACAGAAUAAGCACCGGCUAACUCUGUGCCAGCCGCCGCGGUAA